rnacentral:misc_RNA from 1 species
UACUCGCUCGCCUCGUUCUUUUCCCGUGUAAACCCUAAUCUGUCAUCUUCUCUACUAGUGCAUCAAUGGCUGAUUCUGCGAUUUCUCUUGAGAAGCUAAAAGCUUUUUGGCACUCUCAAAUUCACGAUGAAGAGAAGUGGGCCCUCAACAUGAAAUUGCUUCGAGCUGGUGGACUGUUCGCAGGAUCCAUUUUUCUGAUGCGGAAUUAUGGUGAUCUCAUGGCAAUAUAAGAGUGGAUGGCCACUUGCAACCUUCUGAUCUCGUAAUUCCUGGUGUAUUAGUAAUCUGUAGGAUUUUCAGCUAUUUUUUCAGAAAGAG